AUUGAACGCUGGCGGCAUGCUUUACACAUGCAAGUCGAGCGGCAGCGCGGGGGCAACCCUGGCGGCGAGCGGCGAACGGGUGAGUAACACAUCGGAACGUGUCCUGUCGUGGGGGAUAACCUGGCGAAAGCCAGGCUAAUACCGCAUGAGCUCGGGAGAGGAAAGCGGGGGACCUGCAAGGGCCUCGCGCGACUGGAGCGGCCGAUGUCCGAUUAGCUAGAGGUGGGGUAAAGGCCCACCUAGGCGACGAUCGGUAGCUGGUCUGAGAGGAUGAUCAGCCACACUGGGACUGAGACACGGCCCAGACUCCUACGGGAGGCAGCAGUGGGAAUUUUGGACAAUGGGGCAACCCUGAUCCAGCCAUGCCGCGUGAGUGAAGAAGGCC
rnacentral:rRNA from 1 species